GUGAUAACUUUGGCAGCACAUAUGCUAAAACUGGAACAACACUGAGAAGAUUAGCAGCCUGUGCAAAAAUGACUUUAAAAUUUAACUUCAUUGCACAAGAGUAUU
ensembl:snRNA U6 U6 spliceosomal RNA